rnacentral:rRNA from 1 species
AGAGGCCGGGGGUACCCCUGGGGUAGGGGUGAAAUUCCUAUAAUUCCCAGGGGGACCGCCAGUGGCGAAGGCGCCCGGCUGGAACGGGUCCGACGGUGAGGGACGAAGGCCAGGGGAGCGAACCGGAUUAGAUACCCGGGUAGUCCUGGCUGUAAAGGAUGCGGGCUAGGUGUCGGGCGAGCUUCGAGCUCGCCCGGUGCCGAAGGGAAGCCGUUAAGCCCGCCGCCUGGGGAGUACGGCCGCAAGGCUGAAACUUAAAGGAAUUGGCGGGGGAGCACUACAAGGGGUGGAGCGUGCGGUUUAAUUGGAUUCAACGCCGGGAACCUCACCGGGGGCGACGGCAGGAUGAAGGCCAGGCUGAAGGUCUUGCCGGACACGCCGAGAGGAGGUGCAUGGCCGCCGUCAGCCCGUACCGUGAGGCGUCCACUUAAGUGUGGUAACGAGCGAGACCCGCGCCCCCAGUUGCCAGUCCUCCCCGCUGGGGAGGAGGCACUCUGGGGGGACCGCCGGCGAUAAGCCGGAGGAAGGAGCGGGCGACGGUAGGUCAGUAUGCCCCGAAACCCCCGGGCUACACGCGCGCUACAAUGGGCGGGACAAUGGGAUCCGACCCCGAAAGGGGAAGGGAAUCCCCUAAACCCGCCCCCAGUUCGGAUCGCGGGCUGCAACUCGCCCGNNUGAAGCUGGAAUUCCCUAGUACCNNNCGUUUCAUCAUCGCGCGGCGAAUA